rnacentral:lncRNA from 1 species
AAACAAGAAUCAGACCUGCGUAGUUCAGGCAAAUUUGCAAAUUAGUAUGUGCAAUGUAUGAUUGUAAAAAUAAUGAUGGUCAUCCUAAAAAAUAAUAUGAAAGAUGAUCGGGAAUGAAUUGCUUUUAACAUUAAAAAUGCACUGAUCAAAUGAUCGAAAGAAUGAAUAUCAAGCAUGGGGAGAGCUUUGACACAACUUCAGUAUGCUGACAAGAUUGAAAAAGUCAGACAUUAAAGGAAUAAUGACAUUAUUUCGUCGUAGUUGCAGUAUUAUUAUAACUGAAAAAAUAUUGAACUUCUGCUUUUGAAAGUGAGGAUCGAUACGCCAUAAAUUUAAUGAUUUACGACAUUCAAAAGAAGAAGCUAAGUAUUCUUGCACAAAAAUUUGGUGAGGAUCUUAAGAUAGGUCGACUAAGCACUAAUGUCAAUGAGAUUUGGAUUUGAUGAGCUAUUGAUUUGUACUCUUGAGGACUUUUGAAGAGCGNNNNNNNNNNNNNNNNNNNNNNNNNNNNNNNNNNNNNNNNNNNNNNNNNNNNNNNNNNNNNNNNNNNNNNNNNNNNNNNNNNNNNNNNNNNNNNNNNNNNNNNNNNNNNNNNNNNNNNNNNNNNNNNNNNNNNNGUCUUUGAGCUGUUUCAAAAAAAUUUCUCAGUUUAAAUGCAGGAGAAAUUAUUCUGAAACGGUGGAGAGACCGAAUUCUAAUGCAGAGUUGCCUAUGUAUCUUGUCAGGACAAGAAUCGGGUCAAAACGUAGUUCAAACCUAUAUGAAGCUAAUGACGAUGUUAUUAAGGUGCAUUUUUAACUGAUUUGUUAUGCAAAACAAAGGUUAGACUACACUCUCUCACUAAAGUAUAAUCAAUUUAGAGCAAAAAAAUAUGUACAGACACAAUAAUCCUUUAAAUAUGUACAAACACUAUGAUAAUGCGUCACUUGGGUCGUGAAUCCUUCGGACAUAAAGUUACUAACGAUGCAUGCACCUAAAAUGGUGUUAUUUAACUAUAUCCCAUGUUGACUAAGAGUGGGUAGACACAUACUUAGAUUUCCCAUAUGAGAAGGCACGUAGUCCCACGACAGUAGAACUCCCAUUCACCCCACGCAUGCGCGGACUCUCUAAAAUAAGAUGAUUUGAAAGAAUUUUGGGAAAGUACAAUGUACAAUAUGUGUGAGUAUCAAUUUUCAAAAUGAAGAAAAUAUGAACGGAAUGUCAAUUUAUAUAAAGCGAUAAACAAAUAAAUAAUUUAUGCCACAUAAACAAAAGAAAUCAAGAUAAUUAGUAUGAAACAAAUAACAAUAUUUAAAAACAUAAAUAUUUACCUAAAUCUAUAACGGUUAGAGCCAUUCUCAAUCCCCUGCAGAGUCGCCAAACUGUCAUACUCAAUUUUUACCUAAGGUCAAAACGAGCACGACAUUAUGAACUCAAAAAGAAUUAAUUUUGUACAGAGUCGCCAGCUAAUUUUUAAGGAAAAAUAGAAAACCUAUUUAUUUAUUUAACAAGUAUGACUUUAUUUCAAUCUACGAAACCAAUUUAAAUUCUAGGUAAGGGUUCGAAUUAUUUCGAAGGGAAGAGAUUAGACACCCUUCAAAAUGCACAAAUACGAUUUCCAACCAGUCAGGUUUAUUAAAAGAGAAAAAAAAAAUCAAUAUUUUAAAUGCAACUAUAAAAUGUGUAUUAAAAUAAUAUAGACAAUUUAAUAUAAAAGUAUGAAUUAUUUGAUUAAAUAUGUGAAUCAAUUUUAAUAUAAAAUGUUAACAGCCUAAAUUUGCCUAAACGCGCGAUGAAUAUUUGUAUAAAAGUAUUCUCACCCCACGCCCCAAAAAAUAAAAUUUUCACUAUAAUUGAUAUUUGUACAAUGAUAAGAAUAAAGGAAAAUACAAAUACAAAAAAAAUUCAAACUCUUCUUUGAAUAUCAUUUCCGGCUAGUAUUCCCGAGAACCAAAAGAAUAUCAUUCCCGACGAGUAUUCCCGAGAAUCUACACAAAUGCUUGUAAUAAAAAUAUUAGUAACAAAUAAAUAAUUAUCAAAAUAAAUUUAAAAGGUAUGUGUGCAUAUAUGUAUUUAAAAAUAUAUUUUUUUGCUAAAAAAAUAGGCUCAAAUUAGAUUUAAGAUACAACUUGGAUACGAAGUAGUUGCUGAUUUGUUAGCCAUCCUAAAAAAACUUUUUGCGUUGUUAUAAAAAUUUCAUCAUCGCCCAAAUUUAUUUAUUUUAUUACGUAUUUAUAUAUGCAAUAUCCGUCUUUUAUAAUGAGAUGACCUCAAAUAUCUAAUCGGAGAGAUAAUUUCAUUGGAGAAUAGCAUAGUAUUUGUUCGUUAUUAAUUUAAUAAAAUUAAUAUGGACAAAAAUGUAAUGUAAUUGCCCAAAAGAGAGACAAUAGCAGCCAUGAAACUAGCAUAGCAACAACCCAAAACAAAGGCAAUAACAACUAUGAUACCCGCAAAGAAACAACCAAAAUAAAGGUAAUAACUGCUAUGACACCAGCAAAGUAACAACCAAAAUAAAGGUAAUAACAGCUAUGAUACCAGCAAAGUAACAACGAAAAUACCCGAACAAAUCACAAAUCUACUAAAGAUUUGAAAAAAAAUGAUAUAAUGAACAACAACAAAUAGAUCAAGCAAAUAAUUACAACAUAUACAAAUAUGUAUCAAAGAAGAGGUCAUCGGAUACGACAUCUUGUCUGCCAGAUCCGUGUAAAACAAAGCCCACAACAUACAAAAUUAAUGAGACGCAGUUCAUCAGAAGUAAAACUCGAAGCAAUGGUAAUUACCAUUACCGGCGUUGCUUUAACGACUUUCGCCGAAGCAACGCCGGAUACACAAAGCUCCGGACAGAUCUGGUGGUUUCUCACUGGGGGGAUUCGCCGGAAAUGCAAAAAAGGAGGGCGGCGCCGGUAGUUUGGGCUAGAGCUCGCCGGAGAUGGAGGAAGAGGAUAGAAGGGAGAGAGGGGUGGUGGUGCCUGGUGGUUUGCCGAAAUUCGGCCAUAGCUCACCGAAGAGAGGAGAGAAAAAAAAGGUCCACUGAUUUUGUGCGUAUGUGCUUGUAUUUUGUGUGUAGUGUGUGGGUGGA